CGCACUGUACAAUAUUCUUAUUUCUAUUUAUUUUUCCGAAAGUUUUCCUUAUUGUAACUAUUUAACACGUUGAUUUAGACUAAUUUACCCUAAAAUUUGUAUGUACGAUGAAGUUUGCCUCUAUCUUUUAAGAUUCCUUCAUUCGGGUUAGCUUUGGCAGGAGGACGGACUAUAUAAUGAGGUGAUUCACCACCGGCGCGCAGUAGUCAUUGAGACACAGAGGGAGGAGGUGUUGCCGGUCGUCUUUCUCACCUGACCGGUGAUGUUUUUUAAAUCCAUAUUGGCUGUUACUGUUGUGUUAAAGGCCAGUUUGCUGCCUCAGUGGUCGUCAGUACAGCAGCUCAUUUAUUGGGGAUGAUGACUUGAAGAUGGAGGAUGCAAGAAAUGAUAGUUUUCUUCUGGUGAACUCUCCCUGCACUGCACCAAAAAACGUCAGUAGGUUCUGGACCUUAUUAAGGAGAGGUGUGCACUCUGCUGUACCACUCAUCUUGUACUGCUGUACCAGGAUGGCAAGUGAUUCACAACACAACUAAAGGAAGCAAGUGCCAAGAUACAGCCCAGACCCAGCCUUCCACCCCUCCUCUCUACCUCAGAAAUGUUCUGAACACUGGAGUGCUGUGCUGCCCUAGGCUGUGCUUACUGGCCACUGCCCUGUACUUGCUGCUGCCCUAGACUUCCCUGUACUUGCUUGCUACUGCCCUGGACGGCUCUGCUCUGUGUGUGCUGGCUGCUGUCCUAGACAUGACUGCUCUGCUCUGUGUGCUGCUGCCCUGGACGGCUCUGCUCUGUGCUUGCUGCUGCCCUGGAUGGCUCUGCUCUGUGCAUGCUGGCUGCUGCCCUGGAUGGCUCUGCUAUGUUCUGUGUGUGCUGCCCUGGAUGGCUCUGCUCUGUGCUUGCUGCCCUGGACUACAAAUUUAUAGAGCCAUUAAGUUUCCAUUAAUAAAUGUCUGAAUGUCA